rnacentral:lncRNA from 1 species
UAGUUAACGAGUUUAAUGGUCCGGAAUAACACACGGCUGCAAAUUGUUUUAAAUGAUAGAAUAAUAUCUAUAUUUUAAUUUCCGUCGGGUCGUAAAAAGUUUCUAUGGUCACAUUUUUGUAUGUUAUCCCUUUAAUGGGGAUACCCCUCAAUUUACGGUUUUGGGUAGUUACCUUAAAAUCCCAAAAUAUAUUUUUUGGUUAAAUUUCCCGCUAUUUUCGUAAAUAUUUUCUAUGCACA